rnacentral:rRNA from 1 species
AAAGAGUGCGUAACAGCUCACUGGUCGAGUGGACAUGCGCCGACAAUACACGGGGCUAAGCUGGACACCGAAGCGGCGGGAUUUUAAUUCAUUAGAAUCGGUAGGGGAGCUUCCCAUGGGCGGAGAAGCCGGAGGGCGACCGACGGUGGAGCGCAUGGGAGUGAGAAUGCUGGCAUGAGUAGCGAGAGACGAGAGAGUAACUCGUCCGCCGUGAACCCGAGGUUUCCUGGGCAAGGCUAAUCCUCCCAGGGUCAGUCGGGGGCUAAGGCGAGGCCGGUAGGCGUAGCCGACGCGCAGCAGGCAGACAUUCCUGCACCGCGCACGCGGCGCUACGACCGACGGGGCGACGGAUGGGGGUGGCUCGGCGGGGUUCUGGACGUCCCCGUGAUGGAGCGCGGCCCGCGGACCAGGGAAAUCCGGUCCGCUUCGAGGGCGAGGCUCCGGACGAAGCGACUGAGCGAAGCGAGUGAGCCCGAGGUCCCUAGAAAAACCCCUAGGCAGGCGCGUGCGCGCCCGUACCGCAAACCGACACAGGUGGGUGGGUAGAACAUACCGAGGCGAUCGGGUCAACCAUGGUCAAGGAACUCGGCACAAUGGCCCCGUAACUUCGGGAGAAGGGGUGCCCGCGCGUACGUGAACCGGCUCGCCCGGGGAGCGGAGGCGGGCCGCAGUGGAGAGGCCCAAGCGACUGUUUACCAAAAACACAGGACUCUGCAGAAGCCGCAAGGCGACGUAUAGGGUCUGACGCCUGCCCGGUGCCGGAAGGUCACGCGGAGGAGUUAGCCGUUAAGGCGAAGCCCCGAAGCCAAGCCCCGGUAAACGGCGGCCGUAACUAUAACGGUCCUAAGGUAGCGAAAUUCCUUGUCGGGUAAGUUCCGACCUGCACGAAAGGCGCAACGACUUGGGCGCUGUCUCAACCAUGGACCCGGUGAAAUUGCACUGGUCGUGAAGAUGCGACUUACCCGCGGAAGGACGGAAAGACCCCGUGAACCUUCACUGCAGCUUGGCAUUGGCCGCUGGUCCCGCGUGUAGAGGAUAGGCAGGAGGCAUCGAUCCGGAGGCGCCAGCCCCCGGGGAGCCGCCCUUGGAAUACUGCCCUCGCGCGACCGGCGUCCUAACCCGAGGCCGUCAACCGGCUCGGGGACCGUGCCAGGCGGGCAGUUUGACUGGGGCGGUCGCCUCCUAAAGGGUAACGGAGGCGCGCGAAGGUCCGCUCGGGACGGUCGGCAACCGUCCUUUUGAAUGCAAGAGUACAAGCGGGCUUGACUGCGAGGCCCACAAGCCGAGCAGGUGCGAAAGCAGGCUCUAGUGAUCCGGCGGCCCCGAGUGGGUGGGCCGUCGCUCAACGGAUAAAAGGUACUCCGGGGAUAACAGGCUGAUCUUGCCCAAGAGUCCACAUCGACGGCAAGGUUUGGCACCUCGAUGUCGGCUCAUCGCAUCCUGGGGCUGGAGCAGGUCCCAAGGGUACGGCUGUUCGCCGUUUAAAGCGGUACGCGAGCUGGGUUCAGAACGUCGUGAGACAGUUCGGUCCCUAUCCUCCGUGGGCGCAGGAGAAUCGAUGGAGGCUGCCCCCAGUACGAGAGGACCGGGGUGGACGCACCUCCGGUGAACCGGUUGUCGACCAACGGCACGGCCGGGUAGCCGCGUGCGGCGCGGAUAACCGCUGAAGGCAUCUAAGCGGGAAGCCGUUCCAGGGAUUAGUUCUCCUUCCGGUAAGGGCCCAGGUAGACUACCUGGUCGAUAGACGGCAGGUGCAAGGGCGGCGACGUCCUCAGCCGAGCCGCACUAAUCGCCCGAGCUCUUCCGGAA